rnacentral:miRNA from 1 species
ACACAAAUCACCUGGGGGUCUUGUUGAAAUGCAGAUUCUGAUCCAGAGUGGGGUGGAACUUGGGAUUCUACACUAACAGGCUCCCAAGUGAUGCUAAU